AACGCACAUUGCGCCCCCCGGCACUCCGGGGGGCAUGCCUGUCCGAGCGUCACGAGGACCCUCCCUCAGGCCUACCGCCUGGUGCUGGACCAGGCCGCCGGCCCCUCCCCGGGGACGCGGCCAGCCCUAAAUCUAGUGGCCGCCCCCCCGCGGCGUCGAGCGUCGUCGCAGCGUCUCGCUCGGUGCCGCGUGGGUGGGCGCGACCAGCCUCCCCCCACACGCACGGUAGACCUCGGAUCAGGUAGGGAUACCCGCUGAACUUAA
rnacentral:misc_RNA from 1 species